CGCUCGUCCAGUUCCCGUCAUUGUUGUUUAAAAAGAUGUACGUAGAACAUUCCCGUUGGUCAUGGAGACCGGCAGUAAAAGGUGUGGUUAUUUACCAGUAGAUCAGAAAGAUCAAGAUAGAAAAUCAGAUAGUGAUUUAUCCAGUGAAGAUGAUUUGGAUGAUGAUGACUCAGAUUUAGACAGUGAUUUGGAUGAAAGUAGUGAUGAUGA